rnacentral:lncRNA from 1 species
UUUUUUUUUUUUUUUACAGAUUGAAGGUUUAUGGCAACCCGGCAUCAAGCGAGUCUAUUGGUUUAAGGGAUGUACACCGUGUUUUUAGCCGUAGCACUACUACACUCUUAAAAGACAGGCGCAUAGGGGAAGCAUAACUUUUAUAUGCACCAGGAAAUCAAAAAUUUCCUAUGACUCGCUUUGUGGCGCUACUGCCUUUACUGCAGCGGUCUGGAACCGAACCUGCAAUAUCUCCAGGGUCUGCCUGUAAUCCUACCAGUGCUCAAGAGCCUACAUUCAUGACUUCAUUCAUUUCGCAGAAGUUGGGCAUAUCGGGGGGGGGGGGGGGGGUUUUGUUUUAUUCCGCAUCAAAGAGGGGCAUUAGAGAAAUUCAGGUCGGUCUGUUUCUGACUUUGACUUCAACAACAGCGAUGACAGAAAAUUCCACAUCUAAGAGGUGAGGGUAAGAGGGGGUUAGAAAGAGGGAGCUUCAAAGGGCUGCAAUAAUACAAUUCCAUUGGUGCUACCGGAUGCGCAAUCCUGCCUUUCUCGAGAACAGCCCACGAAAGAGCUGGGAGGAGGCACUGCUCAAGUGACGGGGCCUCAGAGUGUCAGGCCCGGGUCUCUGGCCAGAACACCUCCUUGCAGGAUCCCCCAUAAAAAUCUGUGGACACAGAUUCGAAAGUACAAAGACUCACGACCAUCUUUUAGCAGGUAGGAAAGGACACUGCUUGGGUGACUUUCUUCUUGAGGGAUGAAAGGAAAAGAGUGAGAUUUCCUGGGAGAAAGAAGGAAGAUCUGGAGCAGGGAGGAGACGGGCUUUGUUCUCAUCAAAGAAGAAAAGAAUGUAGGAGAAAAAAAGAAAACUAAUGAGCUGCCGCCAGGAGAUUUAAGCACGGAUUAUGUAUCUGGUGGAGAAUGCGUACAAUUGACUGUUUUGGCCGGCCUGCGGUGAAAACUUUUCCCACUAUGAUUAGGGAAGGGAGAGCCAGAGUGCCUUACCUUUCAAGUGCUCUGUUCUGCACUAAGUGUUCAGAGGAGGUUUCUUUUCAGUUAGGAGCAGAGGGAGGCUUCUUUUCAAAGGAAUAAUGAAUGAGACAAAGCUGGAGCGAUUCCUGGCCCGGCACCACCUCAGGCACAUUUGCAUGUUCCACAGCAGCUGCAAAAUGUGUAGUCUUCUGACAAUAUUUGGUGCUUUGGAGUCAACAGCUUGGAAUUUAUAACCAUUCCAUCCCAGAGUAGACUGAUGGGUCUCUUAGGCUUCAAGAGUGACCCGAUCCAAAGAGUCAGGCUUUGUGACACCUGGAGGUACACCAGGGCCUCGGCAGACAGAUGGGAAAGGAGAUGAAGGCCAGAAAUACCAACGCUGCAAAAUCACUGAAUUGUCACUAGAGGGGAGGGCUACAGGGCACUUCUCCCUCCCCCUCCAUACGCCCUUUGCCCCGACUAAAGGGAGGGAGGGCAGCCAAUGACCCCUGAGCAACCAGGAGAACAUUAUUUUGCACUUACAAUCUGAGCUCUGCCUUCGAAGGGAGAUCAUUGAUAAAUAUCUUUUGGGUAAAAUCCGCAUGCAGGGUUAAAGCACAGGGAAAGAGAACUCUAAAGGAAUCUGGGUAUUCACAGAUCUUACAUCUAGUGGAAACUACAGAAGCUAUAAUAUAUAAAGAUGCCCUUCAAUGCAAAUGAAUAGAUAGGGGUCAAGUUGGGAGGCCGCAUGCGUAAAAAUGAGACUAUACAAUUAUCAAGAGAAAGUCUUGGGAUGGUAAGGAAGAUCAAAUUAAAACGCACUGAUUUUCCUGUGGGCCAGGCACAAAUGCAUUUGAUGCCGCCUUUUGAUACUUAAUUUAAUGCCCAUGGCACCCUUUUGAGAAAGGUAUUCUUAUGUCACAAUAGCCAUGACAAAAAUGGAAGCUCAGAGAGCUCAGGUAACUUGGCCGAGGUCACAGUUAGAACCCAGGCUAGGUUCUAACCUGCAGCUCGUCCUGAGAUUUACUGGGGUUUGCUCUGGGCCUGGUUUGAUGACAGUCAGCCUGCAGGAGCUGGGAGGGAGCACAGGGAUGGGCCAUCGAGGGGUUCUCAGGCUGUCCUCCACCGUGUGCCCUCCUGUACAUGAGGUGCUGAGGCCUGGGGAGGCAGAGGACCUGCCCAAGGGCACUGAAGUUCAUCAGAGCCUGGGCCAGGAUGGGGCGCCUUGCCUGACUGCUGGUCUACCUCAGGGCCAGACUCAGGGGGCAGGGCAGGGCUGAGGAUGCCAGCGCCUCAUUUCAAAACCUUCAGAUCUGUACAUCUUUUUCACUUUUCUCCUUCUUGCUGUUGUUCCAGACUUGCCUCAGAGGACAUCACAGCUGUUGCAUCUGUCCAUCUGCCCCCAGGACCAGCUGGGGACCACUCCACCGCAAGUGCGGCCGGACCUGAGGCCAGGGACAGGGCUGGGAGCCUGAGGAACUCUCCAAAGCCCAUCUGGACAGCACCCUCCAGUGGGUGACACCGCCGGAAAGUUUAAAAGGGGGACAAUCCCUCUAUGUACCUCAAUUUCUCUACAAGCAGAGAAGGAAACGAGGCAGGGGUGGGUUGGGGGGACCAAGGAUGAUGACUAACUUACAAAAGAAUCCUAAGAUGCUCUACUCUUCUUAUAGCUAAACAAGAAAAAAAAAGAAAUAUAAGUCCCACAACUUGCAGAGGGGAAAGGGAGGAGAGAAGAAGGAAGAAGAAGAGGAGGGGCAGGGGGAGGAGGGGACAAAGGAUGGAGGGAGAGGAGGAGGGAAUUAGAGAAGGAAGAGAAAGCUACGAAAAUUCUUCUCACUUGUCUCCUCC